UCCUUAGUAGCUCAGUGGUAGAGCGGUCGGCUGUUAACCGAUUGGUCGUAGGUUUGAUGAU
rnacentral:tRNA from 1 species